rnacentral:rRNA from 1 species
GAUGAACGCUGGCGGCGUGCCUAAUACAUGCAAGUCGAGCGAACGGACGAGAAGCUUGCUUCUCUGAUGUUAGCGGCGGACGGGUGAGUAACACGUGGAUAACCUACCUAUAAGACUGGGAUAACUUCGGGAAACCGGAGCUAAUACCGGAUAAUAUUUUGAACCGCAUGGUUCAAAAGUGAAAGACGGUCUUGCUGUCACUUAUAGAUGGAUCCGCGCUGCAUUAGCUAGUUGGUAAGGUAACGGCUUACCAAGGCAACGAUGCAUAGCCGACCUGAGAGGGUGAUCGGCCACACUGGAACUGAGACACGGUCCAGACUCCUACGGGAGGCAGCAGUAGGGAAUCUUCCGCAAUGGGCGAAAGCCUGACGGAGCAACGCCGCGUGAGUGAUGAAGGUCUUCGGAUCGUAAAACUCUGUUAUUAGGGAAGAACAUAUGUGUAAGUAACUGUGCACAUCUUGACGGUACCUAAUCAGAAAGCCACGGCUAACUACGUGCCAGCAGCCGCGGUUAUACGUAGGUGGCAAGCGUUAUCCGGAAUUAUUGGGCGUAAAGCGCGCGUAGCGGUUUUUUAGUCUGAUGUGAAAGCCCACGGCUCAACCGUGGAGGGUCAUUGGAAACUGGAAAACUUGAGUGCAGAAGAGGAAAGUGGAAUUCCAUGUGUAGCGGUGAAAUGCGCAGAGAUAUGGAGGAACACCAGUGGCGAAGGCGACUUUCUGGUCUGUAACUGACGCUGAUGUGCGAAAGCGUGGGGAUCAAACAGGAUUAGAUACCCUGGUAGUCCACGCCGUAAACGAUGAGUGCUAAGUGUUAGGGGGUUUCCGCCCCUUAGUGCUGCAGCUAACGCAUUAAGCACUCCGCCUGGGGAGUACGACCGCAAGGUUGAAACUCAAAGGAAUUGACGGGGACCCGCACAAGCGGUGGAGCAUGUGGUUUAAUUCGAAGCAACGCGAAGAACCUUACCAAAUCUUGACAUCCUUUGACAACUCUAGAGAUAGAGCCUUCCCCUUCGGGGGACAAAGUGACAGGUGGUGCAUGGUUGUCGUCAGCUCGUGUCGUGAGAUGUUGGGUUAAGUCCCGCAACGAGCGCAACCCUUAAGCUUAGUUGCCAUCAUUAAGUUGGGCACUCUAAGUUGACUGCCGGUGACAAACCGGAGGAAGGUGGGGAUGACGUCAAAUCAUCAUGCCCCUUAUGAUUUGGGCUACACACGUGCUACAAUGGACAAUACAAAGGGCAGCGAAACCGCGAGGUCAAGCAAAUCCCAUAAAGUUGUUCUCAGUUCGGAUUGUAGUCUGCAACUCGACUACAUGAAGCUGGAAUCGCUAGUAAUCGUAGAUCAGCAUGCUACGGUGAAUACGUUCCCGGGUCU